rnacentral:rRNA from 1 species
GGACGAACNCUGGCGGCAUGCCUAAUACAUNCAAGUCGAGCGGAGUUGAUAGGAAGCUUNCUUCCUUGAUNCUUAGCGGCGGACGGGUGAGUAACACGUAGGCAACCUGCCCUCAAGCUUGGGACAACUACCGGAAACGGUAGCUAAUACCGAAUACUUGUUUUCUUCGCNUGAAGGGAACNGGAAANACGGAGCAAUCUGUCACUUGAGGAUGGGCCUGCGGCGCAUUAGCUAGUUGGUGNGGUAACGGCUCACCAAGGCGACGAUGNGUAGCCGACCUGAGAGGGUGAUCGGCCACACUGGGACUGAGACACGGCCCAGACUCCUACGGGAGGCAGCAGUAGGGAAUCUUCCGCAAUGGGCGAAAGCCUGACGGAGCAAUGCCGCGUGAGUGAUGAAGGUUUUCGGAUCGUAAA